GUGAGACCUGAGCCCCGGAAAAACACGAAGGUCCCAAAGCCGGCAAAAGUAGACACUGAGUUUAUUAUUUGCCAGACAAGGGGAGGCUUCCAUUUCAUUACGAAAGGUCAGGAGUGCUCUCUGAGCUGAAGGUGAACGGACAGCUGCGGUGUAGGAAAUAGGAAGUUUUGUCCACAGUUCUGAUUGGCGGAAAAAGCACAUUGUAAACUCUCUGAGGAUCGCUCCUGUUCCGAUUUGUGUUGCAGAAGCAGGAGCACCGUUCCUGGAAGACAGUGGCAGACAAGCAGCUCUCCCAGCUGCAGAGACAAGAUGACCACAGGAGAGCCAGCAGAGGAUGCUGUUACCAGGGAGCUAGGACAGCCAGCACACAGGCAGACGGAGGCACGCAGCCUGAGUCCCAGUCAGCCGGAGGACAUGUGAUUAAAAUGCUGCUGAAUAGGGAAAAAAUCCCGGGCCCAGAAGUUGAGGUCCCUGUGGGUGGGGCCGUGGGGAGGGGGUGCGACCCAGGCCAUGCCCAGGCUUGUGAUUUCUGACCUCGCGCUAGUGCAUUUACGGGUAAACUGAGGCUGGGAGGGAAGCCUCUCUCUGUGUGGGGAGGUGGUCCUCUGUCCGUGUCCGUGGUGAGGGGCUGUGCCCACCCGCUGCCUAGAGAGGAGCACCGGUGCUUUUGUAAAGAGCAGUAUAAAUACACUUCCGUUCAGAUAAAACACAAUAAAUAGGUGGCGGCAAUGGCGGGACGGCACCACACCUGCUCAGGCGGCCGGACGCACACUGCAGGAGUGGCUGGCGAGAGGCCAGCCGCAGGGACACGAGCCGAGGUCCUGUUGUUUGAGGUAAAAAUGUAUAGAAACGGUUCCUUGACAGCGAAAUCCCCGCUUGACACUCAGAUGGGCGAG
rnacentral:lncRNA from 1 species